UUAUACAACCUCAACUCAUAUGGGACUACCCCCUGAAUUUAAGCAUAUUAAUUAGGGGAGGAAAAGAAACUAACAAGGAUUUUCUUAGUAGCGGCGAGCGAAAAGAAAUCAGUUCAGCACUAAGUCACUUUGUCUAUAUGGCAAAUGUGAGAUGCAGUGUACGGAACAUCAAUAUUCUAGUAUGAGAAGUUAACGAUUUAAGUCCUUCUUAAAUGAGGCCAUUUACCCAUAGAGGGUGCCAGGCCCGUAUAACGUUAAUGAUUACUAGAUGGUGUUUCCAAAGAGUCGUGUUGCUUGAUAGUGCAGCACUAAGUGGGUGGUAAACUCCAUCUAAAACUAAAUAUAACCAUGAGACCGAUAGUAAACAAGUACCGUGAGGGAAAGUUGAAAAGAACUCUGAAUAGAGAGUUAAAUAGUACGUGAAACUGCUUAGAGGUUAAGCCCGAUGAACCUGAAUAUCCGUUAUGGAAAAUUCAUCAUUAGAAUUGUAAUAUUUUAAACAAUAUUAUAAUAAUAGUGUGCAUUUUUUCCAUAUAAGGACAUUGUAAUCUAUUAGCAUAAAUAUUUAUCAUAAAAUUAUGUCUGAUUGCUUAUUUGAAUUAUAUGCUUGCAUUUUAACAUAAAAUAAAAGAUAUAAAUUUGAUAAAGUGCUGAUAGAUUUAUAUGAUUACAGUGCGUUAAUUUUUCGGAAUUAUAUAAUGGCAUAAUUAUCAUUGAUAUUUGUGUUUAUUAUAUGCAUUUGUAUGAUUAACAAUGCGAAAGAUUCAGGAUACCUUCGGGACCCGUCUUGAAACACGGACCAAGGAGUCUAACAUAUGUGCAAGUUAUUGGGAUAUAAACCUAAUAGCGUAAUUAACUUGACUAUUAAUGGGAUUAGUUUUUUAACUAUUUAUAGUUAAUUAACGCAAUCCCGGGGCGUUCUAUAUAGUUAUGUAUAAUAAUAUUUAUAUUAUUUAUGCCUCUAACUGGAACGUACCUUGAGCAUAUAUGCUGUGACCCGAAAGAUGGUGAACU
rnacentral:rRNA from 1 species